rnacentral:misc_RNA from 1 species
UAAUAAGUGUUUUAUGGCACUUUUUAAAUCCAUAUCCACCUUGUGUGCAAUGUCAGUCGAUCUUCUUUCAUGGAGAUCGACCAAACAUCAACCUUUAUCUUUUAACUCUUUGUCUGAAAAUAUUAUGAAUAAACAAUUCAAAAUA